UAGUCUAUAAAUAGGAUUAACCUCAUAGAUGUAUGAUUUGUUUUACAAUAAUUUUUCACUUCAUGUACGUGUUUCGUGCUUAUCAUAUGUGGUUAACCUAGAACUAGAGGCAAUAUUUGAGUUAGUCUCAAACACUGGGAUGUCAUGAAGAGUUUUGACUUGGUGGGCUGAUGUGGGGCUAGUUUAAGAGGUUCUUCCCCUUACCGUUUCCUUGAAAUGCUUGAAUACCUCAAUUGAUCAUGCUUAACAUACAAUGUCCUUUUACACUUUCAAUUAUGGUGCCAAGUAUAACAGUUAGCUCUUUGCACUGCUUGGCCUUAUUUAUUAUAGGAUGAACUAGAAAUAUAAUUUACCCAUUGGCUGCACUGUUUGUACCUCCCAACAUGCAAAUAGGUGUUGCCUUGCAUAAAUGAUAGCAUGAACUGCACUGACGCAGUACAGCUUGGAAGGCUAGGGUUUAUGACAAUAAUUAUCUAAAAUUCUUAAGAAAAUAGGGAAAGCUAAAUAGAGAAAAGGAAAAAAAGAAAAGAAAAGAUCUCUAAGCUUCACACCUAGGAUUCCCAUAACACAACCAAAAGAAAGAAAACAUAAGUAUUUGUGGGUUCCUUAAUGGUACAACGAAGGUUGAUUGCAUCUCACUAUCUCAAUAGCAAUAUUGCUGAAAAAUUCUCAUAAUAAUCCAUCUUCCAAAAGAAAAAAGUAGAUUGAUAUUUAAAUAGGCUCCUACAAAACCAAAUCAUAGAAGUAGAACUCAUUCUGAGUAGGAAUUUAAAGAAAAUACUUAAGAACCCUAAUUGAAAACUAAUAAACUUUAGUUAAAGUUUUCGGUUAAUUACACAUUUGGUACCUAAAAUCUAUAGCCAAAUUCUUUAUUUGGUGCAUAAGGUUAAAUAUUAGCAAUUAUGUAUUUAAACUUUGCUUCCAUCCAACAGGUUGCACACGUGACUAAAAAUGAGUCAAAUGAAUGAUGUGCCUGAAAACAACCUAUAAAAACAUGCCACAUAUCUCAAAAUGCCAUGUCAGCAAGCAACUUUUGUAAUUUUAUUGGAUAUUUUGAGUACAUUAUCCAUUUGACUAACUGUGUUAGUUUAUUGUGCAAAUUGUUGAACAAAAGCAAAGUUUGAAUACUUAUUUGUACAGUUCUAAACUUCAAGUGCAAAUCAAGAAUUUGACCAAAGUUCAAGAACUAAAUGUUUAAUUAACCAAAAAUAAAACUAAGAUAAUACUAGGAUAAGGAAAACCAAACUAAGUUAUGAAACCCUAAUAUAAACAUAACAUACCAAAUAUAGCACUAGAUCUAUAGGUCAUAUUUGGUAUAUAAGAUUAUGAUGGGAUAUGAUAAGAUGAUAUUAUAAAUAAGAUUAGAUUAAAUAAUGUCAUCCUCUCUUAUGUUUGAUGUAUGCAAGGAUUAGAUAAGAUAAUUUAUUUAUUGGUCAAAAAUAUCCUUUCUCAAAGUUUAUACAAUUUAAAUUAUUGAUGUAAUUUUUAAAGGUAUAAAAGGACAUGUAAGUUUAAUCCUAUAAAUUAAAAAUCCACUUUGGGAGGAUUGAAGCAUCUUAUAUCAAGAGAAUGAUAAUCCUUCUUGUAAUCUUAUCCUUUUCAAUUAGAUACAAACCAAACAUAAUAUAAAAUGAUUAUCAUAUUAUCCUAUCCGUUAUCCUAUGCACCAAACAUGACCAUAGAAUAUUACAUCUAAGCACCAUAAAUACAAUAAAUUAAGAAAACAAAAUCUUAUAUAAGUUAAUCCCUUAAUUAGCUUCCUAGCAUUCUGCAUUAUUCACCUGACACAACUCAAAUAAACUUUUAACUAUUUUCUCUCUAGGCCUUUCAGUAUCUAUGUAGUUUUGCUCAUCCUUGAUAUUAGCUUUCCUUCAAUAACAACACUUUUUGAGAACAAGGUUACCACUUUUCUGCUUCCCAACUGUUUUACAUCUAAGUUAGCACUAUCUCCUGUACGUUUCCUCCCCUACCACCUUUAUUUCCGUACUUGCCACAGUUCUCAAGUAUGUUAAGGCUUUUUCUUUCUUUUGCCUAUCUGAAUAUUCUAUUCUCCCUGCUUACUCAGUUGUAAUACUACCUUUUCCUUCUAUGAGAACUCCUCUACAUAUUUAAACAAAUAACUAAGCUGUUUAUUUACUGAUGAAAGAUUCACCAGAAAAGAUUUAAAACACUUGAAAAAAUAAUACCCUUAAGGUGAAGGUUCAACAAAGUUGACAAGAAAUCAUUACAUAAGUUAGAAAUGACAUUAACUCUAGUGGAGGUUUAAUGUUAUAAUGGAGGAAUAAUUCAUGAAUUAAGCUUAUAUGUAUCAUGCAGAAAUUAAUGAAAUGAUAAUGACACAACAUAAUCUUAGGAAAUUAAGAGUAGCAUUGCGUACAAAUAUCAAAUAAAAGUAUACAAGAAUAAGAGUAUUUGCUACUUGUAGCCUUAUUGGCAUGGUAGACAAAAGAAUUAUGCAAGUCAACAGGAAAAGUAGACAUUAUGCAAAACACCAAUUUUUGCAAAACCAUUAUUUAUGGUUAUAAUAUGAUCACUAAAGCAUAAAUUCUCAAAUGUUGAAAACUGCUAUAAAGAUUGUCAAAAAUAAUGAUUAAAUGUUGUUCAUUAACUGUAUAAUGUGCUAUAUGCCAUGAAAAUUUCAUUAAAUUGCUGAUAUACGAGUCAUUUAAAUGGGAACAAAAUUGAGGUAGAAUGAUGAAUGUGAUGAGUGCUGACCGAUCCUUGAUCAAGAAUCAAACAAAGUUUGGUAAUGAUAGUUGUGUUUAAUUUCUGUAAUAAAGGUGCAAUGGCAACUUAUAGUAGUUGGGCUGGCAAAGUUAUUUGAACUUGAAAAAUCCUCCUAAACAAGAACUUGACCUAUCAAGAAUCUAAAUCGAAGAUGAUCUAUACUUGAAACCGACUCAAAUUCAAAAUGACCUAAACACAGAAUGAUCCAAAAAGCUAAAUUUAGAUGAUAUAAACUUAAAUUGAGUAUAACUUUAUUUUUUAAAAAUAUUAAUUUAAUUAAAAAAAUAAAUAAAACUAAACUAUUAGUUUACUAAUAUUUAAUAACUUUAAAUUAUCUUUUGUAAUAUCUUUCCUUUGCUUGCAUUUCUAUAUAACUUUGGAUGUUAUCCUUGUUAAUUAUUAGUAAAAAAGAGUUAAAAACAAAUUCUUUAUGUUACUAUAAUUAAAUUAAAUUUCUACGUUUAUACAUAGGAAUAAAUUUUUUUUCAAUUUUUCUUUUUUUUAAUCUUAUGUAAUAAUAGAAGAAAUAUUUAGCAUAAAUAAUAAUAACUUUAAAAACAAAAAGUAAUUUAUGAACUAGAAACACAAUUGAAUCUUUCUUCGUCUCACUUAGAAGAAGUUAUUAUUACAUAUCACUUAAAUUUCAUAUAAUAAAUCUUUGACUCUUUAAUGUAGCUAAAGAGAGAAUUAAAUAUUCAUAUCCAAAAUUUGAAAUGGCUUUUUACUUAUUACCUUUCAAAGAAAUUCUAAUUUUGAGAAAUUAAUUAACACCACCUCUAGCUUUUGGUUAGGUAUUGAGAAAUUAAGGCGUAAGUCGUAACCAUAUCAUGGGGAUUCACUAAUGAUAUUCAAUGUAGUGAAAAUUAAAUUUAAUAUCAAUCAAUUAACAAAAAUUGUUAAUUCUUUUGGGAACAAAAUGUUAAUUUUUAUGUGACUUUUAAUUCAUUUGGUUAUUUUAUGUGAUUUAAUGAUUUUUUUUUUUGAAAAAUUUAAUUUUACGAUAUGAAAAUUCAAAGUUGGAUGUAUGUCACAAAUGGAUGAAAAUGUGGCUUUCAAUAACUUAAUAAUGGCUGAUAAAAUUUGGCUUGAUUUGAAUAAACCAUUCAAAUUCAAUUUGAUUUGACUUUUUAGAGUAAAAAACUUGAACCCGAAAUGAUCUGAAUUCAAAUAACUCUAAUGUCAAACCUGAAUGAUGCGAAUCCAAGAUUUCCAUGAUUCAAAGUGACCUGAAAUAAAUAUGACUAUAACCCAAAAUGUCCAAACGUUUUCUGACUCAAAGGAACCUUACAUGAAGUGACCCAAUCCAAACCAAACCUAAUCCGCUCUAUUGCCAUCAAUAGAUGGUGGUAGUAAUUCUAGGGGUUACAUUAAAGCAUUCAAAUCCAAUUUGAUUUGAUUUUAAAAGUCAACAAGUUGAACUUGACAUGUUUCUAAUUGGAAUGAUCCUAGUAUCAAACCUGAAUGACUUAAACCCAAGAUGACCAUGAUUCUAAGUGGCCCAAAAUUAAAAUGACCCUAAAAAUGUACAAACUUCUUCCAACCUAAAAUAACCUUGCUCGAAGUGUCCCAAUCCAAAUGAAAUCUGAUCUGCCUUAUUGCCAUCUCUAGAUAGUAGCAGUAAUUCUAGGAGUUACAUUAACAUUGUUAAAUCGGAGUGGUGGAGAUAUAGGGUGAAGUGGGAUUUGUUAAAAGAGAUCUGGGAUUAUUGGAGUGAAGAUUUUUUAUGAUUAUAGUUCUAAAAUCAAAAGAAUGAUCUCCCUAGGGUGGGAACAUAAGGUUUGCAUUCCCUUGAUUCCCAACAUUUGUUCUUAUAUGUUAAUUAGGGAUGGCAAUUUCACCUAUAUCGACAGGUUACCUGUUCUCUGCCCUAAAUGGAUGCGGAUAUAGGGAAAUUUUGUACCCGAUUAGGUUAAUCAGGUUCGGGGAUGGGGGCAAGUGAGGUGAUACUUGCCCCGCAAGUCACCCGAUACCUUAUAUAUUAAAAUAAUAUAUAACUUAUAAAAAAAUAUUUUACAUAUCACUUUGUAAAAUAUAAUUAUUUUGGAUUUUAUUGAAUUGUUUAGUGCAGAUUUUUAUAUAUGAUUUUUUUGAAUUAUUUUAUUAUUUUUAAAAUUAUAAUUGGAUAUUUGGGUAAAUUUGAGUUAUCCGUUACAUAUCGGAUAUGGGGAUGAGCAUACAAAAAUAUUACUAUGGGAAUGAGUAUGAAUAUCAUAAUCGGUUACAACGAUAGAGUGUCAUACUUGCCUUGAUAGUGACUCGCAUCCUAGGAAGCACAAACAUGGCAAAAAUCGCAACGUACCAAUGUCAUACCAAUAUGACAUGGAUACGUCUUCAACAUGAUGGAAUAUGUGUCAAACACACACAAACACGCUAAAAAAAAAAAAAGGGACAUGCUCUUGACAUGCUCCGGCGUGGCGAGGAUACGGCAUGGAAGGUUUUUUUUUUGUUACUUAAAUUUUCUUUGAAAGCAGAGAAUUGUAAAGCCCAUAUAGAAAUUAAUCAAAGGAGGAAGAAUAUCCAGCCACAAUUAAAGUAUAAAACCAAACAAGUGAUGAAUUCGUAUCUAGAAUCAGGCAUCACCUGCUAAUUUAUUGAAGGUUGAAGAAAGAUGGAGGAUAUGGUAAAGCCAAAGUGGAGACUGUUAAUUUGUUGAAGGUCAAAGGUCAAAGAAGAUGAAAAUGGAUGUGGUAAACCCUUAAAGUGAAGACUAGAGAAAUAUCCAGCUUAUAGAGAUAUUCAAUUUCUUUAUUCGUUGGCCUUUUUGCUUUCCUUCGUUAUUAUAUUGUGCUUUCUCCGCUUAUAAUAUUGGAUCGUGAAUGAAGAAUGGAUCCAUUAAAAAAGGGUUUUUAUUGUGGUAGAAAUAAUAUGGAAAAUGGAUAACUUGUUUUGGAUCUUAUUUGUAUCGAAUUUUUUAACAUCAUAUUGAAUGUUUUAAUAUAAGAAACAUAUAAAAAGUAUUUCUUAUUGUCAUGUCCUGUCGUAGUUGUGUCUUUAUUUUUUUUUAAAUUACCAUGCCUCCAUGUCGUGCAUAUCCAUGUUACGUGUCUGUGUUUGUGCUUCAUAGCCUAUUGCCAUCCCUAACAACAAUUCCAACAAUAAAUUAAGUUUUUUCCUGCUAUUUUUCCUGUCUUAUAAUCUACGUUUAAUAAUCCAUACUUUAUAAAUAAUGAAAAAAAAAAAUAGUGAAUUAUUGCUCAAUCAAAUGGGUACAAUUCAGCAAUGAAGGAUAUUACACAAAGAAAUAGUAGACAAAAACUAAAAUUAACAAGGAAAAAGUAUUUGAAAACAGUAAGUGCAAGUGAAAGGUGUGCACAUUAUCACAAUAGUUGAACACUCUUUACUUUUAAUAACUGUAAACAAAAAAUAGUAACAUGUGACAUGAUGUAGUUGGACAAAAAACUACACUAUGAUGUGUCACAUUACCCAAAUAAAGUAAAAAAAUAUAUAAAAUAAAAAAAAAAUGAAAACCUAGAAACAACAAAUAGGGGCAAAUGAAACAGAUUGUUUAGAUGAUAGUGUCACACCAAUUGAUUGAGAUUCUGCAAUCAUGUAGAUCGUAUAAGUAGUAAACUAAAAUUGUUCCCACAGAAAUUGAAAAUAGUGAAUUAAGUAUUGAAAUUGCUUCACCUUUCUUAUAUUUGGCAAAUUCAAAAUAAAAAUUGAAUAACAGAUGAAAUUAAGUAAACAAAAACUGAAUAAUGUACAUAAGCUCCAAAGUAUGUAAUAACAAUGAAUUAAGAUGUAAACAACCCUAAAUUAAUGCAAACAACGAGUAAUUAAAUUAGUUAAAAUGCAAUCAACUUAAAUUAAUCUAAAUUGAACUUCCCAACAAGUUAAAAUUAAAACCUAAGCAUGCAAAAUCAAUUUAAACAUGUAUCAACUCUAAACAAAACCCUAAUUAUGCAAACUAUAUGCUUUAACUAAAAUCAAGAAUUAAAACUUAUGAAUUAAUUAGUGUAGCAACCUAAGUAAAUAAUUAAACAUGCAAAUAUAAUAAAUUAACAAAAGUAUAAUAAAAAAUGAUGAAUUAAAUUAGAAUCGAAUUUAACUUAAAUCAAUUAAACUUAAAAUCAUGCAAUUUAACUAAGGUGCAUAUGUAAUAAAAUAAACAAAAGCAAUGAACUGAAUUUAUAAUCAAGCAAAAGCAAAUUAAACUUAAUUCCUAAAACAUGCAAUUAUUAUGAAUUGCUGAAUAAACUAAUUAACUAAACUAAAUUAACCUUAACUUUAAAACCAGACACUAAAUAAACUAAUUAACAUGCAAGAAUUACUGAAUUUAAACUUACCAGCUUAUCUUAAUUAAAUUAAACCUAAUUAAAUUCUAAUUAACCCUGAAAGCAUAUAAUUUAAACAAAUUAAUGUAAUUAAAUCUUAACCAAAUUCAAUUAAACCUAAAAACAUGCAAUUUAAUCAAUUUAAUCUCAAAAGAGCAACUUAAACUUAAAACCAAAUUAGAUUAAUAAGCAGAACAUGCAAACUGAAUUAAUUCUAUUACUUAAAACAUGCAAUUAUCAAAUUCAAGAAAAACAACAAGUAAAUUGCUUAAACUAAACUGAUUUGAAUUGAAAAAGCAAGAACAAAAACUUAAAACUUAUAAAUUGAAACUUCAAUUGCUUUGAAAACUGAAAACAAACUUGAACAAUAUUAUAUUGUAGUAAAAAAACGCUUAAGAACAAUAAAACUUAAAAGAAAACAAGAAGAAAGUUAUUAAACUAAAGGUUUGUUUGUCACCCCAACCAAAAACUAAAGCAAGUUUAAAAGAGCAAAAAAACAAUAAAGAAGAGCCAAGUAACUAGACAUUGGGCUGUCACACCAACCAUGUUUUUCCUCAAGGCUAAGCUAGCUAGUUAUAGAAUAAGAUUGCAUAAAAACCCUAAAGAAAUAAGUUGGGAGGUGUGGCAGCCUUUAACUUGAAUUGAGAAGAGACCUGUUCUCUUUUAAACUCUUUCAAGCAACUCUCAAAGUUUCAACUUUGAGCUACUUCGCAACCUUUUUUUUGCAAGAGUCUUGUAUGGUUAAGUCUUUAAGCAGCUUAAAAAGUCUUGAAAUUUUCAGCUGCUUAACUCUUCUUGAACUCUUUUUAAACUUUAAAUGUCUCAAAAUUAAAGAGUGGGAUGUGACUAGGGCUUUUUCAAGAGAAAACAAUGUAUUGCAAUUACUUUUAAACUCGUGCCAACUUUCAAUCUUCAACUAGGAUUAAGCGUUGCAUCUUUUAAGCACUUCUUGGACUAGGAUUAGGACUUGUUGAAUAAAAGAGAAUUGGGUCAUCCAUCCUUGUUAACAGCCCACCAAACCUAACACUAUAGUAUUUUGGGCUCUAUUAGGAUCACCUCUUGGAUUGAGCUAGCCUUGGACACAAUCUUGGGCUUAUCUUGCAACUUGGCCAUCAUACAUCUUCUUUAGUGUGCCACCCAUACCUUUAUAUAUUCUUCUACCUCAUGCAAUCAUACCCUAGGUAAGAAUACCAAGUCAACUUAAGAUUUCCUAGUCAACCUUGGAAAAUCUUUCCCAAGUCGGCUUCACCAAGUGGAUCUCCUAGUCAAGGUAGGAAUUCCAAGUCAAAGUGGGAUAUCUUAGUCAAACUAGGAAUUCAAGUAAAAGUGGGGAAUCUUUUUUCAAGUAGGAAAACUAUUGGCGAAAUGAGCUUUUUCAAUUUAAGGUGGGAUUUGUCUAGAAUUCUCCAAGAUUAGUAAGAUUUCCUUUUUUUUUCAAGAUUACCUACACAUUAUCAAAUUAAUUACAUUAGGAGUAAAAAGCAUUUUAUUUUGUCAAGAACAAAGCAAAAAUAACUCAUUUAAGUACUAAAAAUAAGUCUAAAUAACUCUAUUUUAUAGAGUUAUCACCAAUAACUUUAGCAUAUACCUUAUUUAUUGU
rnacentral:lncRNA from 1 species